rnacentral:rRNA from 1 species
UACAGAGGGGGCGAGCGUUGUUCGGAAUUACUGGGCGUAAAGGGCGCGUAGGCGGCCUUCUAAGUCGAACGUGAAAUCCCCGGGCUCAACCCGGGAACUGCGUCCAAUACUGGGAGGCUUGAAUCCGGGAGAGGGAUGUGGAAUUCCAGGUGUAGCGGUGAAAUGCGUAGAUAUCUGGAGGAACACCGGUGGCGAAGGCGGCAUCCUGGACCGGUAUUGACGCUGAGGCGCGAAAGCCAGGGGAGCAAACGGG